rnacentral:rRNA from 1 species
CUCGGUGACCGGUGCUGCAUGGCUGUCGUCAGCUCGUGUCGUGAGAUGUUGGUUAAGUCCCGCAACGAGCGCAACCCCUAUCUUUAGUUACCAUCAUUCAGUUGGGGACUCUAAAGAUACUGCCCCGGUCAACGGGGAGGAAGGUGGGGGAUGACGUCAAGUCCUCAUGGCCCUUAUGCCCAGGGCUACACACGUGCUACAAUGGACUGUACAAAGGGUUGCAACCCCGUAAGGAUGAGCUAAUCCCAAAAAGCAGUCCUCAGUUCGGAUUGGAGUCUGCAACUCGACUCCAUGAAGUUGGAAUCGCUAGUAAUCGCAGAUCAGCACGCUGCGGUGAAUACGUUCCCGGGCCUU